rnacentral:rRNA from 1 species
CAAUAGCGUAUAUUAAAGUUGUUGCGGUUAAAAAGUUCGUAGUUGGAUUUCUGCCGAGGACGACCGGUCCGCCCUCUGGGUGUGUAUCUGGUUUGGCCUGGGCAUCUUCUUGGAGAACGUAGCUGCACUUGACUGUGUGGUGCGGUGUCCAGGACUUUUACUUUGAGGAAAUUAGAGUGUUUCAAGCAGGCACACGCCUUGAAUACAUUAGCAUGGAAUAAUAAGAUAGGACCUCGGUUCUAUUUUGUUGGUUUCUAGAGCUGAGGUAAUGAUUAAUAGGGAUAGUUGGGGGCAUUCGUAUUUAACUGUCAGAGGUGAAAUUCUUGGAUUUGUUAAAGACGAACUAGUGCGAAAGCAUUUGCCAAGGAUGUUUUCAUUGA